rnacentral:lncRNA from 1 species
CUCUCACUGCAGACCCUGCUGGCUCUGCUCCACGAGUCUCUUGCCCUCCUGGGACCAGAGAGGCCAGUUGGGGCAUGUUCUUUUCAUAGUGAAGGCAGACCACAGGCUGGCAAAUGGAAAUGCAUGAUGCUUCCUAAGGCCUAGGCUCAGACCUGGCAACUGUCAAUUCCACUUUCCUCAUCUUAUAAAAUUCUGGUUCUCAAUGACACCAGCAUCAUUACUGAUUUGCUUUCUACUCACACACAAAUAGCCUCCAAAUAAGAAUGCCAACACUAUCACCAAAAAGGAAAAAUUAUCUUCGUUUCCCCAAGGCCUGCAGCUUUCAUAAGAAGGCAGGAGUUUUUGGAGGAGAGCGUCGUGUUCGUCUGUCUGUAGACCCUGAGACACUGAUUUACAGCAAGACUCACGGUGACAAGAAUAUAAACAUCUCUUCAAUUCAUUUGAUGAGGAAGAAAAGCUUUGAUAAAGAAACUUGACAAGAACUUUACAAGGAAGAAAAAUUACCAACAAUUUCUCCUAUCAAUGUAGAUGAAAAAUUCUAAACAAAAUGUGAGCAAAUUGAAUUCCAUUUUAUGUAAAUAGGAUAAUACAUUAUGAUGAAAUCAAGUUUAUUUAACAAUGCAAGACUGGUUUGCUAUUCAAAAAUCAAUGAAAUAUGAAUACAUAUGUAGAGCAACUAAAUGUUAAGAAACUCCGGUUUCCAGUCCAACAUGUGAAGAGCUUGGAAAUCUUCAUAUUAAAAAAAAAACUGAACAAAUUGAAAAUCAGCAAUUCUUACAUCCGUCAGAGAAUUGAGGUCCCAGGGCAAUCUGCUGCCUUGAAAAUGAAAGAAACAGACAGACAGAUACAGAGAAUUUCAGCUUAAAAGGAGCAGACGGCCUCAGCUGGACGAGUUCGAGUUUAAAACUCCAGGAGGGGCCAGUCUUGGAGACGCCACACAGCUGGGAGUUUCACCUCCAGAAGCCCUACUGUUACUCAAAAGGGGUCCCAAGCCAAACCCCAAGAGAGGGUUCUUAGAUCUUGCACAAGAAAGAAUUCAAGGCAAGUCCAUAGAGUAAAGUGAAAACAAGUUUGUUAGAAAAGUAAAGAAACAAAAGAAUGGCUACUCCAUAGGCAGAGCAGACCCAAAGGCUGCUGGUUGCCCAUUUUUAUGGUUAUUUAUUAAUUAUAUGCUAAACAGGUGGUGGAUUAUUCAUGCCUUUCCUUUUUAGACCAUAUAGGGCAACUUCCUGACAUAGCCACGGCAUUUGUAAGCUGGCAUGGCGCUGGUGGGAGUGUAGCAGUGAGGACGACCAGGUCACUCUCAUCGCCAUCUUGGUUUUGAUGGGUUUUGGCUGACUUCUUUACUGCAACCUGGCUUAUCGGCAAGGUCGUUAUGACCUGUAUUUUGUGCCUACCUCCUAUCUCAUUCUGUGACUUAGACUGUCUGUCUGGGAAUGCAGCCCAGUAGGCCUCAACCUUAUUUUACCCAGCCCCUAUUCAAGAUGGAGUUGCUCUGGUUCAGACGUGCCUCUGACACCACCAGUUACUCACUGUGAAGGUCCCUCAUACUCCUCGCCCUGGGAGGGAAAUAGCAACCAUUUUAAGAUAUGGCCGGAGGAUUUUACCCUCCUUAACUGCUGCCCUCAUGGGGAAAGCAUUUUGCUAGAGCCUAACUUGGGAUUUUAUCCAGGCCUAACUGGCCUGAGAGAAGGGAAAUACUCAAUUCGGGCUCACUAAAGACUGAGCCCUGAUCACAGGGCUACAGGACACUUCCCCUCCCCCACACCUCAUUGCCUUCUCAAUAGAGCUCCUGUGUAAUAACGGAGGAUCAAGAACUGCAAGCCUUAGGCCCUAUUUUAAAAUUUUGAAAGUCUCUAGGAAAACCCAAAGACAACAGGGGAGACAAAAACAAGAGCACUAGAGGAAAUUUUAGCCUCUGACACUGCAGCCACAGUAAACAGUGUUGACAAAAAGAGUCAAACUGUAAAAUAUUUUAAGAGAUUUAUUCUGAGCCAAAUAUGAAUGACCAUGGCCUGUGACACAGCCCUCAGGAGGUCCUGAGAACAUGUGCCCAAGGUGGUUGGGGGUGCAGCUUGGUUUUAUAUAUUUUAAGGAGGCAUGAGACAUCAAUCAUAUGCAUUUAAGAAAUACAUUGGUCUAGUUCAGAAAGGUGGGACAACUCAAAGCGGGGGGAGCAGGGCUUCCAGGCUAUAGGUAAAUUUAAACAUUUUCUGGUUGACAAUUGGUUGAGUUUAUCUGAAGACCUGGAAUCAACAGAAAGAAAAUGUUCAGGUUAAGAUAAAGGCUUGUGGAGAUCAAGUUUUACUGCGUAGAGGAAGCUUUCAGACAGCCAACUUCAGAGUGAGCAUGUUGUAAAAUGUUUAUUAUCAGACCUAAAAGAGCACCGGGCUCUUAGUUGAUUAUCUCCUGGAUCUGGAAAGGAAAGAAGGAAAAAAAAGGGGAAAGGAGAUUCUCUAUAGAAUGUGGAUUUUACCCACAAGGGACGACUUUGCAGGACCAUUUCAAGACAUAACAGAGAAAUAUGUUUUGGGGUAAAAUAUUUUGAUUUUCUUCCUUGUUGUGCCAGAGUCAGAUUGGAAAGUAAGUGACAAUAUACAGGGUUAAAUCAAAUGCAUCUGAUGAGAAUUUAUGGUUUGUAGGGCAUGACUCCCUAGACCCCUUAGACAGGAAUUUAGGGAGGACAAAAAAAAAAAUCAGAGCUUAGUCUUCAAUAGUAAACACAGCCCAAUGCCUAAUCAGAUAAACAUAAACUUCACACUCACAUCCUAUCCACCUCAGUUCCUAUUACUCAAUACAUUGUAUUGGGCUUUCAACAAAAAAAUUACAAAGUGUGCUAAAAGCCAAAACACACAGUCUGAAGAGACAAAGCAAGAUCAGAACCCACUUUUGCAAAAAUCAGGAGAGUGAGAAAAACCUGACACAGGGAAAUUAUGGCAGUGAAAGAGAUCUGACUGAACUGAUUCCAUCUUGCCUUUAAUCUCCAAACUGCCCUUGUUCAUUCCUGGGCGUAGGCCAAACUAACUUUGGGAGAAAUUUAGUUUAUAGUUUAACUUUGAAACAAAGAUAAUAACAGCCCCUCCCUGAAAAAAAAAUACCCCUUCUUGUCUAGGGACAAAACUGCCUUUGUAAAACUAACAAAUUAGCCACAAGAUUAGAAAUUAUGGCUCAGGAGUCACACAUCCAGAGCCCAAAAGAUUCCUAACCCCCCCAAUUGCUCCUAUAGAUAACACUACUACUGUGAAAGCUAAGAUUGGUGUUUAAGGUAUUCUUCAGGAUCUGCAUUCUGUUGGACCAGCUAGCACCACCCAGACCAAUACACUGUCUCAUCUGGUCUUGUGAACCCCACCCAGGAACUGACUCAGUGCAAGAGGACAGCUUUGUCCCCUGUGAUUUCAUUCCUGACCCAACCAGUCAGCAUUCCCCAUUCCCUUGUCCCUGUCUACCAAACAAUCUUUAAAAAUUCUAGACUCUGAACAUUCAGGAAGGCUGAUUUGAGCAAUAAUAAAACUCUAUUCUGCAAUUUAGCUAGCUGUGUAUGUAUUAAACUCUUUCUCUACUGCAGUUUCCCUGUCUUGAUAAAUUGACUCUAUCUGGACAGUGAGGAAGAACUCAUUGGAUGGUUACAGAACCAAACUCAGAUACGGCAGAGAUUUCAAAAUUAUCAGAAAGGUAAUUAAAAUAACUACAGUAGGCCAGGUUCAGUGGCUCACGGCUAUAAUCCCAGCACUUUGUGAGGCCAAGGUGGGUGGAUCACUUGAGCCCAGGAGUUCAAGAGCAGUCUGGGCAACAUGGAGAAAACCCGUUUUGUAGAGCAAAAAAUUAAAAACUUAACCAGGUGUAUUUGAAACCAGCCUGACCAACGUGGUAAAACCCUGUCUCUACUAAAAAUACAAAAACUAGCUGGGCGUGGUGGCGCACGCCUGUAAUUCCAGCUACUCCGGAGACUGAGGCAGGAAAAUCACUUGAACCCGGGAGGCAGAGGUUGCAGUGAGCCGAGAUUGCACCACUGCACUCCAGACUGGGCAACAGAGUGAGACUCCAUCUCAAAAAACAAACAAAAAACAAACAAACAAAAAACUUAACCAGGUGUAGUGGUGUGCCCCUGUAAUUCCAGCUACCCGGGAGGCUGAGGUAGGAGGAUCCCUAGUGCCUGGGAGACAGAUGUUGCAGUGAGCUGAGAUUGCACCACUGCACUCCAGCCUAGGUGACAGAGUAAGACCCUGUCUCAAAAAAUGAAUAAAAUAAAGACUAGUUAAUAUGCUAAGAAUUUUAAUGGACAAAGUGAACAAUAGGCAAUAGAGCCAAUGGUUCAUGUAGGCAGAGAGAUGGAAAUUCAAACAGGGAAAAGAGUUAAAAGGAAAUGCUAGAAAUCAGAAGCACUGUAACAGAAAUGAAGAAUCUUCUUGAUGGGCUCAUCAGUAGACUGGACACGUUCAAGGAAAG